rnacentral:rRNA from 1 species
AUUGAACGCUGGCGGAAUGCUUUACACAUGCAAGUCGAACGGCAGCACGGGUGCUUGCACCUGGUGGCGAGUGGCGAACGGGUGAGUAAUACAUCGGAGCGUACCCAGUCGUGGGGGAUAACGUAGCGAAAGUUACGCUAAUACCGCAUACGUCCUGAGGGAGAAAGCGGGGGACCGUAAGGCCUCGCGCGAUUGGAGCGGCCGAUGGCGGAUUAGCUAGUUGGUGGGGUAAAGGCCUACCAAGGCGACGAUCCGUAGCGGGUCUGAGAGGACGGCCUGCCACACUGGAACUGCGACACGGUCCAGACUCCUACGGGGGGCAGCAGUGGGGAAUUUUGGACAAUGGGCGAAAGCCUGAUCGAGCCAUUCCGCGUGAGUGAAGAAGGCCUUCGGGUUGUAAAGCUCUGUCGGCAGGGAAGAAACGGCUUGGGAUAAAACCCCGGGCUAUUGACGGUACCUGAAGAGGAAGCACCGGCUAACUACGUGCCAGCAGCCGCCGUAA